CAAGUGACCCCGGUCUAACCACCGGGAUGUUCAUAACCCUUUGUUGUCCGACUCUGUUGCCUCCGGGCGACCCUGCCUUCGGGCGGGGGCUCCGGGUGGACACUUCAAACUCUUGCGUAACUUUGCAGUCUGAGUAAACUUAAUUAAUAAUUA
rnacentral:misc_RNA from 1 species